rnacentral:rRNA from 1 species
GCAAGUCGAACGAUGAACCUCCUUCGGGAGGGGAUUAGUGGCGAACGGGUGAGUAACACGUGGGCAAUCUGCCCUGCACUCUGGGACAAGCCCUGGAAACGGGGUCUAAUACCGGAUACUGAUCAUCUUGGGCAUCCUUGGUGAUCGAAAGCUCCGGCGGUGCAGGAUGAGCCCGCGGCCUAUCAGCUUGUUGGUGAGGUAAUGCUCACCAAGCGACGACGGGUAGCCGGCCUGAAGGGCGACCGGCCCACUGGGAUGAGACACGGCCCAGAUCCUACGGGAGGCAGCAGUGGGGAAUAUUGCACAAUGGGCGAAAGCCUGAUGCAGCGACGCCGCCUGAAGGAUGACGGCCUUCGGGUUGUAAACCUCUUUCAGCAGGGAAGAAGCGAAAGUGACGGUACCUGCAGAAGAAGCGCCGGCUAACUACGUGCCAGCAGCCGCGGUAAUACGUAGGGCGCGAGCGUUGUCCGGAAUUAUUGGGCGUAAAGAGCUCGUAGGCGGCUUGUCGCGUCGGUUGUGAAAGCCCGGGGCUUAACCCCGGGUCUGCAGUCGAUACGGGCAGGCUAGAGUUCGGUAGGGGAGAUCGGAAUUCCUGGUGUAGCGGUGAAAUGCGCAGAUAUCAGGAGGAACACCGGUGGCGAAGGCGGAUCUCUGGGCCGAUACUGACGCUGAGGAGCGAAAGCGUGGGGAGCGAACAGGAUUAGAUACCCUGGUAGUCCACGCCGUAAACGGUGGGCACUAGGUGUGGGCGACAUUCCACGUCGUCCGUGCCGCAGCUAACGCAUUAAGUGCCCCGCCUGGGGAGUACGGCCGCAAGGCUAAAACUCAAAGGAAUUGACGGGGGCCCGCACAAGCGGCGGAGCAUGUGGCUUAAUUCGACGCAACGCGAAGAACCUUACCAAGGCUUGACAUACACCGGAAAACCCUGGAGACAGGGUCCCCCUUGUGGUCGGUGUACAGGUGGUGCAUGGCUGUCGUCAGCUCGGGUCGGGAAUGUUGGGUUAAGUCCCGCAACGAGCGCAACCCUUGUCCGUGUUGCCGCAGGCCCUUGUGGUGCUGGGGACUCCGGGAGACCGCCGGGUCACUCGAAGAAGGUGGGGACACGUCAGUAUCAUGCCCUUAGUCUGGGCUGCACGUGCUAAAUGGCCGGUACAUGAGCUGCAAACCGCAAGUGGACCAAUCCAAAAACCCGGUCUCAGUUCGGAUUGGGGUCUGCAACUCGACCCCAUGAAGUCGGAGUCGCUAGUAAUCGCAGAUCAGCAUUGCUGCGGUGAAUACGUUCCCGGGCCUUGUACACACCGCCCGUCACGUCACGAAAGUCGGUAACACCCGAAGCCGGUGGCCCAACCCCUUGUGGGAGGGAGCUGUCGAAGGUGGANGCAGG